rnacentral:rRNA from 1 species
AACGCUAGCUACAGGCUUAACACAUGCAAGUCGAGGGGAAACGACAUCGAAAGCUUGCUUUUGAUGGGCGUCGACCGGCGCACGGGUGAGUAACGCGUAUCCAACCUGCCCACCACUUGGGGAUAACCUUGCGAAAGUAAGACUAAUACCCAAUGAUAUCUCUAGAAGACAUCUGAAGGAGAUUAAAGAUUUAUCGGUGAUGGAUGGGGAUGCGUCUGAUUAGCUUGUUGGCGGGGUAACGGCCCACCAAGGCGACGAUCAGUAGGGGUUCUGAGAGGAAGGUCCCCCACAUUGGAACUGAGACACGGUCCAAACUCCUACGGGAGGCAGCAGUGAGGAAUAUUGGUCAAUGGACGAGAGUCUGAACCAGCCAAGUAGCGUGCAGGAUGACGGCCCUAUGGGUUGUAAACUGCUUUUAUAAGGGAAUAAAGUGAGUCUCGUGAGACUUUUUGCAUGUACCUUAUGAAUAAGGACCGGCUAAUUCCGUGCCAGCAGCCGCGGUAAUACGGAAGGUCCGGGCGUUAUCCGGAUUUAUUGGGUUUAAAGGGAGCGUAGGCCGUCUGUUAAGCGUGUUGUGAAAUGUAGAUGCUCAACAUCUGAAUUGCAGCGCGAACUGGCAGACUUGAGUGUGCGCAACGUAGGCGGAAUUCGUGGUGUAGCGG